UCGUUAGCUCAGUCGGUAGAGCAGUUGAUUUUUAAUCAAUGGGUCGCAGGUUCGAGCCGAGCGAAGCGAGACA
rnacentral:tRNA from 8 species